rnacentral:rRNA from 1 species
GACGGAGGGUGCAAGCGUUGUUCGGAAUUACUGGGCGUAAAGGGCGCGUAGGCGGUCUGUUAAGUUCGGUGUGAAAGCCCCCGGCUCACCUGGGGAACUGCGCCGGAAACCGGCAGACUCGAGUACCGGAGAGGAGGGUGGAAUUCCUGGUGUAGCGGUGAAAUGCGUAGAUAUCAGGAGGAACACCGGUGGCGAAGGCGGCCCUCUGGACGGAUACUGACGCUGAGGCGCGAAAGCGUGGGGAUCAAACAGG